GAUGAAGAACGUAGCGAAAUGCGAUAAGUAAUGUGAAUUGCAGAAUUCAGUGAAUCAUCGAAUCUUUGAACGCACAUUGCGCCCGCCAGUAUUCUGGCGGGCAUGCCUGUUCGAUCGUCAUUACAACCCUCAGGCCCCCGGGCCUGGCGUUGGGGAUCGGCGGAGCCCCCCGUGGGCACACGCCGUCCCCCAAAUGCAGUGGCGGUCCCGCCGCAGCUUCCAUCGCGUAGUAGCUAACACCUCGCGACUGGAGAGCGGCGCGGCCACGCCGUAAAACACCCAACUCUUCUGAAGUUGACCUCGAAUCAGGUAGGAAUACCCGCUGAACUUAAGCAUAUCAAUAAGCGGAGGA
rnacentral:misc_RNA from 1 species